CCUACUCCUACGGGAGGCAGCAGUGGGGAAUCUUCCGCAAUGGACGAAAGUCUGACGGAGCACGCCGCGUGAGUGAUGACGGCCUUCGGAGUCUGUAAAGCUCUGUUGAUCGGGACGAAUGGGCUUUAUGUGAAUAAUGUAAAGAUUUGACGGUACCGGAAUAAAAGGCCACGGCUAACUACGUGCAAGCAGCCGCGGUAAUAA
rnacentral:rRNA from 1 species